GAUGAACGCUAGCUACAGGCUUAACACAUGCAAGUCGAGGGGAAACGACAUCGAAAGCUUGCUUUUGAUGGGCGUCGACCGGCGCACGGGUGAGUAACGCGUAUCCAACCUGCCCACCACUCGGGGAUAACCUUGCGAAAGUAAGACUAAUACCCAAUGAUAUCUCUAGAAGACAUCUGAAAGAGAUUAAAGAUUUAUCGGUGAUGGAUGGGGAUGCGUCUGAUUAGCUUGUUGGCGGGGUAACGGCCCACCAAGGCAACGAUCAGUAGGGGUUCUGAGAGGAAGGUCCCCCACAUUGGAACUGAGACACGGUCCAAACUCCUACGGGAGGCAGCAGUGAGGAAUAUUGGUCAAUGGACGAGAGUCUGAACCAGCCAAGUAGCGUGCAGGAUGACGGCCCUAUGGGUUGUAAACUGCUUUUAUAAGGGAAUGAAGUGAGUCUCGUGAGGCUUUUUGCAUGUACCUUAUGAAUAAGGACCGGCUAAUUCCGUGCCAGCAGCCGCCGUAA
rnacentral:rRNA from 1 species